CUGGUACUGAGAAUACUGGCCUUGGCUUUAUUUUUAUUCAAUAUGGUCCUUUAUUAUUUUUUUCUCAGCUCAUUAAAAACAGUCUGCUCAGUAAAUCAUAAAUAAUAUUUCAUUCAAAAACUAAUUUAUAUUCAUUUAUUCAACUGUGUUAAUUCGAAGCCCUUGAACCAUGGAAUUAGGAUUAGUAGGCUUACUGAAUUGUCAGGUUGAAACAAGGUUUCGAUUCAAGGAUAGUAGGAUUUCCUGUUAACUAUGCAAGUUUUAAAAGUCAAUUCAACAUACAUAGAAACAUUUCAAAAUGAUUUUGCUUGUGAGAAUUUAUCGUUAAUUUAAUUACUUUGGGUUAUUCUAGAAUCACACCUACAAAUGUUAAACUUCUAUAGUACAAACAAGUUUGACCAACGCUAUUUCCAAGUUUUAGCUAAGCCCAUGUAUUAGAAAAAUUGUCAAAUGAAGCUUUCUUUUACCAAGAGAUAAGCUUUUUUUUAAAUAAGGAAAUUUUUAUAAUUAAAAAAUUGAUUUUAAAAAAUAACAAUCAAAAUUGUUUUGACUAAAUGAAAACGAUUAGUUAGCUUGCUGUUUUGUUUUAGUAAAAAAUGUUUUCAAAAUGUCCCAAGAACAAUUAGUUUUAAAGUGUUUUGGCUUGCAGAAUGUAUAUACCUCCUAAAUUUUUAUUGAAUGCUU